AAAGUCGUAACAAGGUUUCCGUAGGUGAACCUGCGGAAGGAUCAUUAACACGUCUUUAUAUCCAAUAUAUAAACUAAACGCGAACUAAACCCCCGCCCUAUCAUUAUACACUGUCAAAGUCAAUUGGAUUGUUUGAUCCGCUUAAUUCUGACUGAUGGUAGGCAAUUUUAUUAACAAUCAUUUUAAACUCUUAUAACCUAGUUGACCUAACUACUAAGACAUUCUAGUAUUCAUUCUAUCAGAGAUGAUAGUAUGAAAACUGCUUGUUGUUAUAUUACGAAAUGUAAGAACAACUCUUAGCAAUGGAUAUCUUGGUUCUC
rnacentral:misc_RNA from 1 species